GGGCGGUUGGCGCAGCGGUAGCGCACUUCCCUGACACGGAAGGGGUCACUGGUUCGAUCCCAGUAUCGCCCACAA
rnacentral:tRNA from 2 species